rnacentral:rRNA from 1 species
UACGGGGGGCGCAAGCGUUGUUCGGAUUUACUGGGCGUAAAGGGCGCGUAGGCGGCGCGACAAGUCACUUGUGAAAUCUCUGGGCUCAACCCAGAACGGUCAAGUGAUACUGUCGUGCUAGAGUGCGGAAGGGGCAACUGGAAUUCUUGGUGUAGCGGUGAAAUGCGUAGAUAUCAAGAGGAACACCUGCGGCGAAGGCGGGUUGCUGGGCCGACACUGACGCUGAGGCGCGAAAGCUAGGGGAGCGAACGGG